AUUGAACGCUGGCGGCAGGCCUAACACAUGCAAGUCGAGCGAGUGGCGGACGGGUGAGUAAUGUAUGGGGAUCUGCCUGAUAGAGGGGGAUAACUACUGGAAACGGUGGCUAAUACCGCAUACUAUCGGAUGUACCCAUAUGGGAUUAGCUAGUGGGUGGGGUAACGGCUCACCUAGGCGACGAUCCCUAGCUGGUCUGAGAGGAUGAUCAGCCACACUGGAACUGAGACACGGCCCAGACUCCUACGGGAGGCAGCAGUGGGGAAUAUUGCACAAUGGGCGCAAGCCUGAUGCAGCCAUGCCGCGUGUAUGAAGAAGGCCUUAGGGUUGUAAAGUACUUUCAGCGGGGAGGCGUUACCCGCAGAAGAAGCACCGGCUAACUCCGUGCCAGCCGCCGCGGUAAUAC
rnacentral:rRNA from 1 species